UACGGAGGGUGCAAGCGUUAUCCGGAUUUACUGGGUUUAAAGGGUGUGUAGGCGGACUUUUAAGUCAGCGGUGAAAUCUCCGGGCUCAACCCGGAAACUGCCAUUGAUACUAUUGGUCUUGAAUGUUGUUGAGGUGGGCGGAACGGGUCAUGUAGCGGUGAAAUGCAUAGAUAUGACCCGGAACACCGAUUGCGAAGGCAGCCCACUAAGCAACGAUUGACGCUGAGGCACGAAAGCGUGGGGAUCAAACAGG
rnacentral:rRNA from 1 species